GGGGUCGGCUGCGGUCUGCUGUCGUUGGCGCCUGCCUGUCACGCCGGAGGCCGCGGGUUCGAGUCCCGUCGACCCCGCCC
rnacentral:tRNA from 1 species